GCCAGUCUGCAUGGAGCCGACCUUGAAAUACCACCCUUUAAUGUUUGAUGUUCUAACGUGGACCCGUGAUCCGGGUUGCGGACAGUGUCUGGUGGGUAGUUUGACUGGGGCGGUCUCCUCCUAAAGAGUAACGGAGGAGCACGAAGGUUGGCUAAUCCUGGUCGGACAUCAGGAGGUUAGUGCAAUGGCAUAAGCCAGCUUGACUGCGAGCGUGACGGCGCGAGCAGGUGCGAAAGCAGGUCAUAGUGAUCCGGUGGUUCUGAAUGGAAGGGCCAUCGCUCAACGGAUAAAAGGUACUCCGGGGAUAACAGGCUGAUACCGCCCAAGAGUUCAUAUCGACGGCGGUGUUUGGCACCUCGAUGUCGGCUCAUCACAUCCUGGGGCUGAAGUAGGUCCCAAGGGUAUGGCUGUUCGCCAUUUAAAGUGGUACGCGAGCUGGGUUUAGAACGUCGUGAGACAGUUCGGUCCCUAUCUGCCGUGGGCGCUGGAGAACUGAGGGGGGCUGCUCCUAGUACGAGAGGACCGGAGUGGACGCAUCACUGGUGUUCGGGUUGUCAUGCCAAUGGCACUGCCCGGUAGCUAAAUGCGGAAGAGAUAAGUGCUGAAAGCAUCUAAGCACGAAACUUGCCCCGAGAUGAGUUCUCCCUGAGACUUUAGGUCUCCUGAAGGAACGUUGAAGACGACGACGUUGAUAGGCCGGGUGUGUAAGCGCAGCGAUGCGUUGAGCUAACCGGUACUAAUGAACCGUGAGGCUUAACCUUAC
rnacentral:rRNA from 1 species